GAAGGUGAGGCAGGCAUUCCGGCUGGAGACAGGACAGGGACAAGACACCUCUUCUCUUCCAACUCCUACUCUAGUACUCCCGCCAAGUAGUCCCUGAAGCGGAAGCUGGGUGACUAGCCCACUGGAGGAAGCCAGGCCCAUUCACGAGACAAAGAAGUUGUGCUUUUCCCGGCCUUGCCGGCGCGGGAGCCAUCUCCAUGGCGGCUAGCAGAGGAGCCACUGGGAGGCCCACAGGGUGCGCACAGAGCCGCGGUUCUUGGUCCCUGGAACAUAAGAUGCUGAGGGUCCCAAAGAUCAAACCUUCUGCCAGUUCCCAGAUCAUCAAACCCUAACCAGCCUUGUCCCUGUGACCCGCCACCAGCUAUAAAGAUUCUCAUGCCCUCUUCUGACCUCCCUUCUGAGCCCGGGCACACAGUGCACAUACACAACUUGCAAACGAAACACAUGCACAUGAAAAAUAAGAUAAAGAAAUCUUCAGAAGAAGAAAAAAAAAAACCCAAAAAGGAACCGAGGAAAACCAUCGGGAGGAAAUGAGUCACAGGUGAGCCAGGCAUUUAAUGAACAGGACAAAGCAUUUCCUACUGUUAGUCACACAGACCGAGGGCUUCAUGUGGCUGGGUAUGUUUCAGGGCUGUGGCAACUCUAAAGAGCAGACAAGCAUAGGAGAACAAGACUGGGGAGAGUCAAGGAAAUUUCCCAGCUCAUCACACCGGUGUCAUCUGAUUCCAGACUCCAUGCCUUAUGUGUCCCUGUGGCUGCUUUGGAAAAGCCACACGGGGAAGGUAAUAACAGUUCUGGAGAACAUCAGUCAUAAGCCCUCCUCUCCAUUGUCAGUUUGGUGGCAUCAAAAAUUGCCUAGGAGAUGGGCUUUUCUGAACAUGGCUGUGAGGGAGGGGCUAUCUUGUUUAGGUUAACUGAGGUGGGAAGAUUCGCCCACUGUGGGUGGCCCAUUCCCUAGGUUGAGACCCUGGGCUCUAUAAAAUGAGCUAAGUGUUCAAAGUGCAGAAAAUAAAGGACAACUGAAUGCAAAGGGACCCCUGUGCACCACCCUCUUCCAAAAGCUCAGGGACCACCUCAGAGGGAGAGGUAGGAAGGUUGUAAGAGACAGAGGUCAGAGAGAACCAGAGCAAAACAGUGACUGCUGGGCAUGGCAGGACCACUAUGCUCAAAGAACUCAAAAAGCAAGCUCCUGCGGGUUACCUGCACAAGAACUAUACAAAAUCAAGCCAGUCGACAUUCUAGUGUGAAGUGGGAAGGGAUUCUUAAGCCCUCACCCCUAAACGAGGAGCUAUGGAAAGUCAGUGGCUACAGGGAUGGGGAACACAGAGCCAAUUUUUUUUUUUUUCCGGAGCUGGGGACGGAACCCAGGGCCUUGCGCUUGCUAGGCAAGCGCUCUACCGCUGAGCUAAAUCCCCAACCCCGCCAAUUUUCUUUAGGGUGUGACUCCUGGUAAGCUAACUCUGUUCCCUCCAGUCGAUGUCCCCAUACCCAGGAGUAUAUCGGCAGCACAAAUUGGAAUUAAUGGGCCAUUUUAAAAAGAGGACACAAAGUUUCAGGAGGGAAAGGAGGUGGGGAUGGGUGGAAGGAUUCAGGGAGAAAGAAUGGGGGGGUUGAGUUGAUCAAAAUAAUAUCACAUGAAAUUCUCAAAGAAUUAUUUAAAAUAUUUUUAAAGAUUUAUUUUUAUUUUUAAUUCUGUAAAUGUGUAUGUAGUAUGUAUGUAUGUAUGUAUGUAUGUAUGUAUGUAUGUAUGUGGGUUCCCUUAGAGACCAGAGAUGUUGGAUCCCUUGGAUAUGGAGUUAUAGGCAGUUGUGAACUGCCUGAUGUGGGUCCUAGGAACUGAACUCAGAUCCUUUAAAGAAUCAACAAACGCUCUUAACCUCUAACCCAUCUUUCCAGUCCCUAAAAAAAAAUUUGUUGAAGUAAACUGAGCACAAGCAUUCACUGUCUUUUGCUUCCUGACACGAUGCCACCGACUGCCUCAUGCUUCUGCUGUCUUGAUUUCCCCGAUAGGAUGGGUUGUAUCCCCCGGAAGCAUGAGAUCCCUUAAGUUGUUCUGGCUGGGGUAUCUCAUCACAGCCUCAGAAGAGUAACUAUGACCCAGAGCAAGGGAAUGACAGUUCAGGGAGAACCUUGCAGACAGAGCAACUGCCCAUCCAAGCCCCCUAAGAGACCCUAAGACUUAUGGGUACUGAACUGAGAACCUAGACAGAAGAAGGUGAGAUCUCCUAUGGGUGGGUGGGUCUGCCUUUCCAUGUCAGCCUAUCUACAGGACCUGGAGACUUGUACUUCCUGACCCAAAACAUCAAGACUCCGAAAUCUGGGUCUUUCUUAUCCCACAUGCUCAGAACCUCAGGUCCUGCUCUCCAGUACCUAGGAACCUCUCCCCCCCUUUUUUUUUUUUUUUGGUUCUUUUUUUCGGAGCUGGGGACCGAACCCAGGGCCUUGCGCUUCCUAGGUAAGCGCUCUACCACUGAGCUAAAUCCCCAACCCCCUUCUCCCCUCUUUUACUCAAUCUUAGAUCCAUCAGGGUUUGUCUGGUCAUGUGCCAAAGGGAUCAGACUUCAAAUCUGGAAGAGUUAAAGAGCCCCCCACAUUCCCCAUGUCCCCGACAGGUUUCCUGAAUAUCAACCAAAAAAAAAAAAAAAAAAAAUAGAUGUGUUUGAGUUGAGGAGGGCCAUGAAUGAGGAAGUGGAGAGGAUUUUGUGAAUGAGCAUCUUAAAUCCCAGCCCCAAAUCUGCACUAGCUUAACACACACAGCACCUCUCAGUAUCUGUACAGGUCACCUGGGUCCUACCACUCAUUCUUUUUCCUGUAAGAUAAGAUGGUUUGAGUGUGUGUGUGUGUGUGUGUGUGUGUGUGUGUGUGUGUGUGUGUUUAAUCAAAUUUGUGGGUGCCCACAGAUGCCAGAAGAAGGUGUCAGAUCUCCUAAAAUGGGAGUCACAGGAAGUUGUGCGUUUCUGUGAGUGCUAGGAACCAAACCCAAGCCCCUCUGCCAGAGCAUUUAACUGCUCAGCCGCGUCUCUAGCCCCUUCACAAUUCAUUCUUUUCUCAGUCCAGGCCAAGUUUCCAGAAUCUCCCGGGACCUCAGCCAGUCCCCACCAGUGGAUUUUAAUUGCCUGACAAAAGUAAUACCAAUAUUUAUAAGGGAACAAACACGGAUACCAUAAAUAAGUACAUUACUGACUCAUUGAAUUAAUUAGUGUUUAAUUACUCGAAAUUACCAUCAGUUACUACCAAUUACCCGAACAACGAAUGCAUUCUUUCUCCAUUACAGAUGGCAAUUUCCAGGGCCAAACCCAGAGACCUGAGCUGUAGGGAGCAGCCUCUGCCCUGGGGUUCUGCUCCAGCUCCCCUCCCCCACUGCCCACCUUGGAAUGGUCCACCUGCUUUGUCACAUUCCAGAACACCAAGCGCCAGACUGGUCACCAGGGACACAUCUGCAGACUAAAGAGACAAAAUUUUUGUCCUUGUAGAAUUCACAAUCCAGUAGAGGAUGAGGGGGGGAAAAAGCUUUA